UGCAGAGGUCUCAAGCGUUGUUCGGAUUCAUUGGGCGUAAAGGGUGCGUAGGCGGCGCGGUAAGUCGGGUGUGAAAUCUCGGAGCUUAACUCCGAAACUGCAUUCGAUACUGCCGUGCUUGAGGACUGGAGAGGAGACUGGAAUUUACGGUGUAGCGGUGAAAUGCGUAGAUAUCGUAAGGAAGACCAGUGGCGAAGGCGGGUCUCGUGGACAGUUCCUGACGCUGAGGCACGGAAGGUCAGGGGAGCAAACGGG
rnacentral:rRNA from 1 species